UCAGGAGGAUCCUCCUCUGAGCUCAACUUUUUAUACCCCUCUUCUCUACUCCCUCUGCCCCCGCGCGAGGACCCCGGGGAGAAUGAACCGGGGGGCGAUGCGGGGGCAACAGCCCGGUCUCAGCGAGGUCCCCGCGGGAGGGCCUUCCGCGUCCCGGAGCGCUAUGACCGCGGGAAACCCAGACCGGGCACAAUUCUCGGCCCGCCUGGGUUAGCCCGUCCGAUUCUGCCGUUCGGCUGGGAUGAGGACGGGAGUUACGGGCGGGCCACAACAAA
rnacentral:snoRNA from 1 species